rnacentral:lncRNA from 13 species
GCCCUGGGUGGGAAUGAGAGCUCCUCUGUCCAAACCUCCUUUUCCAGGGCCCCUCCCUCUGCAGGGAGACACACAAGCCUGAAGCAUCAAGUGGCCCCAGGACGCCACUUACCAGAGGAGCCAGACAAGGCCAUCCCUCCCUGAAGGCUCUUUGAGGCAGGAGGAGGGACCAGGCAGCCUUCACUUCCCUCCGGUGUCCCGUUCAAUGCUCAGUCUGGGAUUCCUUUGAUGGUUGUUCCUUCCUUGAGGGAGCAAUGUCCCUGGACUCUGCCAAGGUGGGGAAAUUGAGGCAGAGCCCUAAGAAGACUCUGAGGAAUGUGUCAGGAGUUAAGAGGCCAGCUCUCAUUUCUCUCCACCUUCCCACCAUGCUCAGGGCCUCUUCCUGGUGGGACUGGAGAGGCAGGUGGGAAAGAGAGAGCUUACAGAUGAAGCCCCUCCUCAAAGACUUUGUGAAGGGCUUUUCCUGCCUCCGCACCUGCUGCUCUGCUCUGAAGUCUGAGGCCUUGCUGCUGACGCUCCACCGCUUUGCUGAAGCCUCCCCGGUCCGCAGCUCCUGUGGCUCUAAGGAAAGAGAAGCCUCCACACUUGGCACCUGUGGGAACCCAACCCUGGCUGCCCACCCCAGCAGGUGAGUGCCACACAGUUCAGUCCCUGGCUUCCACUCC